CAGUCGCCACGGUAAUACGAAGGGUGCAAGCGUUACUCGGAAUUACUGGGCGUAAAGCGUGCGUAGGUGGUGGUUUAAGUCUGCUGUGAAAGCCCUGGGCUCAACCUGGGAAUUGCAGUGGAUACUGGGUCACUAGAGUGCGGUAGAGGGUAGUGGAAUUUCCGGUGUAGCAGUGAAAUGCGUAGAGAUCGGAAGGAACAUCUGUGGCGAAGGCGACUACCUGGGCCAGCACUGACACUGAGGCACGAAAGCGUGGGGAGCAAACAGGAUUAGAUACCCCCGUAGUCCCUGUCUCUUAUAC
rnacentral:rRNA from 1 species